GGACCUGUAGCUUAAUUGGAUAGAGCACCUGACUACGGAUCAGGAGGUUGUGAGUUCGAGUCUCGCCAGGUUCA
rnacentral:tRNA from 1 species